rnacentral:rRNA from 1 species
AUUGAACGCUGGCGGCAUGCCUUACACAUGCAAGUCGAACGGUAACGCGGGGCAACCUGGCGACGAGUGGCGAACGGGUGAGUAAUAUAUCGGAACGUGCCCAGUAGUGGGGGAUAGCCCGGCGAAAGCCGGGAUUAAUACCGCAUGAGACCUGAGGGUGAAAGCGGGGGAUCGCAAGACCUCGCGCUAUUGGAGCGGCCGAUAUCAGAUUAGGUAGUUGGUGGGGUAAAGGCCUACCAAGCCGACGAUCUGUAGCUGGUCUGAGAGGACAACCAGCCACACUGGGACUGAGACACGGCCCAGACUCCUACGGGAGGCAGCAGUGGGGAAUUUUGGACAAUGGGCGCAAGCCUGAUCCAGCCGAUGCCGCGUGCGGG